rnacentral:lncRNA from 1 species
GGAAAAGGAAGUGAAGCCUGUUAAAAAACCCGCUGAAUCUGCACCCAAGUCACCUGCUUCUGCUAAGAAAGGAAAACCAAACACUCCACAAAAUGCUAAAUCGAACACUCCUCAAAAAUCAGGGGGAAAGAAAGGUGGUCAAGCAGUAACGCCACAAGCGAAUUCAAAACCGAGCAUGAAGAAGGGCAAGAAAGGUGGCAACCGAUCAUAGAUUUAAGUUGUUUUGGUGAUGGGUUUGGGGGUAUACUAAGUUUGGUGUUGGCCAGUUUUGAUUUAUAUCUUUUGAAAUGAUUAUGUAAUUUUUUGGUUUGACAAGAUCAUUGAAACAUUGUUUUCUAGGGAAAGUUCUAUUCAUGUGUUUAAACUUUAAAUCGUUAAUUUGUUACAACAUGGGAAACCAAACA